rnacentral:sRNA from 1 species
UUAACGUUAUACACUAGGCCAUGACAGC